rnacentral:tRNA from 3 species
GGCCCGGUGGCUCAGUUGGUUAGAGCGCCGCCCUGUCACGGCGGAGGUCGACGGUUCGAAUCCGUUCCGGGUCGCUA